GACGAACGCUGGCGGCGUGCCUAAUGCAUGCAAGUCGCACGCGGCACCUUCGGGUGCUGAGUGGCGAACGGCUGAGGAACACGUGGGGACCUGUCCGGGAGUGGGGGACAACACCGCGAAAGCGGUGCUAAUCCCGCAUACGCUCUGAGGAGGAAAGCCGAAAGGCGCUCCCGGGUGGCCCUGCGGCCCAUCAGGUUGUUGGUGGGGUAACGGCCUACCAAGCCAAUGACGGGUCGCUGGUCUGUGAGGACGACCAGCCAGACUGGGACUGGGACACGGCCCAAACUCCUACGGGAGGCAGCAGCAAGGAAUUUUCGGCAAGGGGCGCAAGCCUGACCGAGCAACGCCGCGUGCAGGAAAACGGCCUUCGGGUUUUAAACUGCUUUUGCUAGGGAUGAAAACAGACAGGACCGGGCGAAUCAGCCCCGGCGAACUCUGG
rnacentral:rRNA from 1 species